UUCCCAUGAGGAGGCGGGAAUAGAAUUAUAAAACGAGAAGACCCUAUGGAGCUUUAAUUAAUCAACUCAAGAGAAUACACUUAUUCAACCAAUUAGGGAUAACAUACUUCUACUAUGAGUUGACAAUUUAGGUUGGGGUGACCUCAGAGAACAAAACAGCCUCCGAGUGAUACAAAUUUAGAAUAUUAGUCAAAACACCUCUUCACUUAUUGACCCAAAAACCUUUGAUCAACGGAAUAAGUUCCCCUAGGAUAACAGCACAAUCCUAUUCGAGAGUUCAUAUCAACAAUAGGGUUUACGACCUCGAUGUUGGAUCAGGACAUCCUAAUGGUGCAGCAGCUAUUAAGUUCUUUUGUUCAACGGUUAAAGUCCUACGUGAUCUGAGUUCAGACCGGAGCAAUCCAGGUCGGUUUCUAUCUAUUCAAAUAAUUUCUCCCAGUACAAAAGGACAAGAGAAAUAAGGCCCACUUUACUAAAGCACCUUAAAAUCAAUAGAUGAUAUAAUCUUAAUUUAGCAAGUCUAUCUCCAAAUAUGCCCAAGAAAUAGGGCUUGUUAGGGUGGCAAAGCCUGCUAAUUGUGUAA
rnacentral:ncRNA from 1 species